rnacentral:tRNA from 1 species
GGCUCCGUGGUUCAAUGGAUAGAACAGCCCCCUCCUAAGGGGCAGAUCCAGGUUCGAUUCCUGGCGGGGCCA